rnacentral:rRNA from 1 species
GACGAACGCUGGCGGCGUGCCUAAUACAUGCAAGUCGAGCGAAGCUGCGGAUGGGCGUGUAACGCGUGGGUAACCUGCUCUUAAGUCUGGGAUACCAUUUGGAAACAGAUUCUAAUACCGGAUACUAAAGGAUGGAUCUGCGAUGCAUUAGCUAGUUGGUAAGGUAACGGUUUACCAAGGCGAUGAUGCAUAGCCGAGUUGGGUGACUGAUCGGCCCCAUUGAGACUGAGACACGGCCCAAACUCCUACGGAGGGCAGCCGUAGGGAAUCUUCCAAAAUGGACGAAAGUCUGAUGGAGCGACGCCACGUGAGUGAAGAAGGUUUUCGGAUCGUAAAGCUCUGUUGUUGGUGAAGCGGUAAUCAACCAGAAUGUCACGGCUAACUACGUGCCGGCAGCCGCGGUAAUAC